UGCAAUGUGUUUUCUAAUGUGUCGUA
rnacentral:piRNA from 1 species